rnacentral:lncRNA from 1 species
UUGUAAUUGGCUAAGACACUUUGUGUAGUUUUGUUUAGAAGGAUUGGUGAGGUUAAGAAUUAAAUUUGGGUUAGAAAUGGGUUAAAAAUGGGUUUUGGAAGGAGUUAGUAGCAAGGAGCCUUUGCAUUGAAUGCUUUGACUAAGUUAGUUACAAAGCAAAGUUCUAAGUUUGGGGUUGUGAUAAAGGUUCAAUUUUCAUACAUAAAUUUGAUAUUAAAAUGCACCCUUUAUGACUUAGAAUUAGCUUGGAAUCAUGCAAUUUGCUCAAGUUAUAGAAUAAGAAAGUCAAAGUGGGUUUUCUUGGUUUUAUGCUUGGUUUUCCCUUGAUUUGGUAGGAUUUAUCAAGAAUUGAAUGAAGGAAGUGAAGAAAGAGAAGAGUUGGAUGCAAGAGAAGGUGGAAAAGUGAAGAAAAAAACCGUCGGGCGGUGUACUCUCAAGAGAACUCUCUGCCAGACGCUCAAGCGACACCGUUGAGGGGUGAAGUGGAGUGUCGACCUCACCGCCGGGCGGUGAAACCACCGCUGUAGUGGACUCUUCAGGGGAUUCUCUGGCCAACGCUCAAGCGAUAGCGUUGAGGGGUGAUAUUAAGUGUCAAACAUACCGUUGGGCGAUGAAGCCACCGUUGGGCGGUGGAAUAUUGGACUUGGGCCAGAAUUCUGUCAUUUUUCUUUUGUUAUAAAUAGUUCUGCACGAACCAGAUACUCUAUCUUUUGGCAGAAAGGACGCAGAAACACAUUCUUCUUUCCUUGGAGGCGGAUUUUGGAUGUGGAAGCUCUAACUUAUCAAAUAUAGUGUUAUCUUUCCAUACUUUUCAUUCGUUUCAUCUAGAUUCACCAUGGUUAAGGUGAACUCAAGCCUUUUGUUAUUGGGAUAUUUUUCGGGAAUAAAUAAAAAAUAGAAAGAAAUGCGAUGCACAAUAAAAAAAAUGGAUUUAUUUUUUUAUUUUCUUAAUUACAUAAAAAUGUAAUUUGAAUUAUAAUUCAAUAUGUUUGUUGUUUGUGAGAACCCCUUGAAUCAAUAUUACAUUACUUGAUUCAACGAGGUCUUAAUCAUUUUAUUAGGAGUUUUUUUUCUUAUUCUAAAAAAUGUUCCCAAUAUUUGUGAAUUUUUUUUUAAUUAAUUAGGUCAACAAUCUACCCCUUUUUUGGUGAUGCACAACCAUGAUUAAUAACCAACCAUGUUUGCACAUUUCAAUAAAAAUAGAGUAGCAAAAGAUAUAUCACAGUUACCACAGUUCAAGUACUCUGCAUGUAAUCCGAUUAAAACAACAGCAAAUAUCAAGCAUGAUAUGAAACAGAAUAACAAUUCUCCCCAUUUCAUAUAACAAUCAUAAAUCUCUCCCCCUUUGUGCAUUAGCCAAAAAGGUAUGCUCUAGAUAUUUAGCUGAUAUUUCAUAGCGGAGAUGCAUCAAAGAGUAUGUUCAAUUUUCAAAAUGCAACGAUGAUCUCGCAUUCACAUUUAAUCACAUGUAAAUGAUAACUCCCCCUGAAAUGCACGCAUGUGAGUAAAAAAUUGUGUAAAGUGUAAUACUCCCCCU